rnacentral:rRNA from 1 species
AACGAACGCUGGCGGCAGGCUUAACACAUGCAAGUCGAGCGCCCCGCAAGGGGAGCGGCUGACGGGUGAGUAACGCGUGGGAACGGAGCCUUUGCUACGUAAUAGCUCCGGGAAACUGGAAUUAAUACCGUAUGUGCCCUACGGGGGAAAGAUUUAUCGGCAAAGGAUCGGCCCGCGUGGGAUUAGCUAGUUGGUGAGGUAAUGGCUUACCAAGGCGACGAUCCAUAGCUGGUCUGAGAGGAUGAUCAGCCACAUUGGGACUGAGACACGGCCCAAACUCCUACGGGAGGCAGCAGUGGGGAAUAUUGGACAAUGGGCGAAAGCCUGAUCCAGCCAUGCCGCGUGAGUGAUGAAGGCCUUAGGGUUGUAAAGCUCUUUCACCGGAGAAGAUAAUGACGGUAUCCGGAGAAGAAGCCCCGGCUAACUUCGUGCCAGCCGCCGCCGUAAUAC